rnacentral:tRNA from 1 species
CCCUGGGUGGUGCAAACGGUUAGCACACUUGGCUGCUAACCGUGAAGUUGGAGGUUGAGUCCACCCAGGGG